GAUGAACGCUAGCUACAGGCUUAACACAUGCAAGUCGAGGGGAAACGACAUCGAAAGCUUGCUUUUGAUGGGCGUCGACCGGCGCACGGGUGAGUAACGCGUAUCCAACCUGCCCACCACUUGGGGAUAACCUUGCGAAAGUAAGACUAAUACCCAAUGAUAUCCCACGAAGGCAUCCGAAUGGGAUUAAAGAUUUAUCGGUGAUGGAUGGGGAUGCGUCUGAUUAGCUUGUUGGCGGGGUAACGGCCCACCAAGGCUACGAUCAGUAGGGGUUCUGAGAGGAAGGUCCCCCACAUUGGAACUGAGACACGGUCCAAACUCCUACGGGAGGCAGCAGUGAGGAAUAUUGGUCAAUGGGCGAGAGCCUGAACCAGCCAAGUAGCGUGCAGGACGACGGCCCUAUGGGUUGUAAACUGCUUUUAUAAGGGAAUAAAGUGAGCUACGUGUAGCUUUUUGCAUGUACCUUAUGAAUAAGGACCGGCUAAUUCCGUG
rnacentral:rRNA from 1 species